rnacentral:rRNA from 1 species
AAUCUUAGACAAUGGGCGAAAGCCUGAUCUAGCGAUGCCGCGUGAGUGAUGAAGGCCCUAGGGUCGUAAAGCUCUUUCGCCAGGGAUGAUAAUGACAGUACCUGGUAAAGAAACCCCGGCUAACUCCGUGCCAGCAGCCGCGGUAAUACGGAGGGAGUUAGCGUUGUUCGGAAUUACUGGGCGUAAAGCGUACGUAGGCGGAUCAGAAAGUAAGGGGUGAAAUCCCGGGGCUCAACCCCGGAGAUGCCUCGUAAACUCCUGGUCUUGAGUUAGAGAGAGGUGAGUGGAAUUCCAAGUGUAGAGGUGAAAUUCGUAGAUAUUCGGAGGAACACCAGUGGCGAAGGCGGCUCACUGGCUCGAUACUGACGCUGAGGUACGAAAGUGUGGGGAGCAAA